ACUCCUCUCCCCGUGGCGUGAGGCUGGUGUUGAGGAAGCUGUGUGCAGGCGAGGGGUGUCCACAUGGGCCCAGGUCCCCUCUCGGCAUUCCCAUCACCCUGCAGGGAAGGUGCCCUGCCCCAGCCCAGCCCAGUUUCUCCAAGCUUCUUGGAGCUCAACUCCAGAGGCAGGGAUACAAGGUGGUGAGAACAGGAUCAGACCUUGCCCUGGAGGCCCACAGCGCUUGGUAGCACUGCGGGCAGAGCACAUUCCCAGCUGCUUUCAGAUGUGGUUCACACCAUCAGGUGGGGAGCUGGAAAAGACUCAUCCCAAGCCCACUGGCGGUUUUCCAAGGGAAGGAGGAGAGAGCCUGGCUGGGUGGAGCAGGCGGCAUAGCUUUUAAAAUGUAGAGCACCCAGAGCCUGUGGUCUGCCCCCGACCUGCUGGGACAGCUCAGCCCACGCCGGGGGGCUGCUCCCUGCUCCUGCUGGCGCUGAGCUGCCGCUCCCCUGCGCACCUCCCCCCUGCCACGGGCAGCAGCAGGCAGCAUGCUGGGGCUUCCCUAGGAAGGGGGGGGCAAGCAGCCUGCAGCAGAGGUAUGCCCAACUACAGGCCACGCUGCGAGGUGUAAGUGAGCGUCUGAGCCCCAGCACAGCCUCUGCCAAAGUCCUCCUCACUGCUUCCUUAAUCCGGCUUGCGUCAGCCAGGCUGCAGGACCUGCCCAGGCUGACCAAGAGGAGCUGUGGGAAUGAGGCUGAGGACUUGCCCAGCCUGACCAAGUGGAGUUGUGGGGAUGAGGCUGAGGACCUGCUCAGCCUGACCAAGUGGAGUUGUGGGACUGGAGCUAAGGACCUGCCCAGCCUGACCAAGUGGAGUUGUGGGACUGGAGCUAAGGACUUGCCCAGCCUGAUCAAGUGGAGUUGUGGGGAUGAGGCUGAGGACCUGCCCAGCCUGACCAAGUGGAGCCAUGGGACUGGGGCUGAGGACCUGCCCAGCCUGACCAAAUAGAGCUGUAGGGGAAGAGGCUGAGGACCUGCCCAGCCUGACCAAGUGGAGCUGUGAGGGCUCAGGCUCCUCACCCAUGGCUGGAGGGGGGAGGGGAUUCUCCUGCAAGGCUCUGUGGUGACUCUUGUGUAAUUUGGUCACCCAAAUGCAUCCCUGUCCCUCUGCUGA